UCCCCCUUAGCUCAGUGGUAGAGCGCGUCACUAGUAUACUCCAUGGGUUGAAAACAUGACGAGGUCAGUCGUUCAAGUCGGCUAGGGGGAA